rnacentral:lncRNA from 12 species
AACACCUCCGCCCUCCCCGCCCCCUCCGCCCCCUCCGCCCCCCAGCGGCGAUUCCCCGCCCACGCCCUUCGUGGGGAUCCCCUCCCCCACCCCAGCCCGGAACUUUUCUCUCCCGACCCGGACCCACCACUCGCCUCCGCCUCCGGCACUGGCUUGCCCAGCGCACCCCGACCACGACGUCCUUUCGGGUCACGAGACUCGGACCUCGACACCCCGUCCCCGCCCUCAAGGCUCCCAACUCAGGCACCAGGACACCCCUCCCUGGGCUUCCAGCCUCCAGCUGCCCUCUCCCCAGAUUCUCUGAGCACUUUCCUCCACCCCCAGGACUACAGGGACCCCAGGUUCCAGGGACCGACUGAGCCCCGGACCCCGCUGGGGCCUCCGGCCUGCUCCACUCCCGGGAGGAGCGCUCCCUCCCGGCCACGUCUAUGCAACUCUCCCGGGCAGAGGGGCCGGGGCUGCCAGCUGCCCCACGUUGGCCGCCACUACCUCCCCCGCCGCGCUUUUGCAUGCCCGGGCGAGGACCGAAGCACACACCUCCAAGCUCACGUGCCCUGGCCUCCUCUGCUUUAAGCACAUGCCUCUUCCCUAUCACUAGGCGCCCAACUCUGGGGGCAGGAGUCCUGGACUCUCCAACCCUCCCUUUCUCCCUCCAGCCACAAAGGAGGGUGGAGACUGGAGGGGCCACUGGAGCAGGGGCACUUCCCUAGGGCUUCUCGGCUCCAGGCCUGCCUCCGGGGAAGGGAGGCAGCAGGGAUGGGGGGAGGGAGAGGGGUCGCAGAAGCAAUUACGGAGGGUGUUGACCCUGUAAAUAGGAACUUCCGACAGCAAUAAUUUUCCAUGCAUGCUAAGCCUUUUGGCCAUAUUUUGUAUGAGCGCUUGGCGCUCCCCGUCCCUCCUCCCCCAUCUCGCACCCCAGAACCCCAUCCCUUCUCUCACCUCCAGCAGUAUUACUUGUAACGCAAUUCAGGGAUAUUAAAGGGACUUUGGCCACUCACCAGCACCUCUAGACCUUGUCAUUGGGAAGGGGUAUGUGGGCAGGGGUGGCUUCUGAGAGGCAGCUGGAUUUUUUUUCCGUGUUACAUUUUUUAAAGCAUAGUAAUGUCAUUUGUUUCAUAUUAAUCUUGUUGAUUGAAGCUGGAUUUUUUUCCACUCCGUUUCCCUCCCUCUAGCCUGACCACCCUGUAGCUGUCACCAGAGGUCACACACUCCGGGAGUGGGAGGGUGUCCUGACAUCCACAAAGUCCCAGGCAUCCCCAGUCCUAAAUAUUCCUCAAAUACUGGGGUUGCAAACUCAAAGAUUUCAAGAACCAGAUUAAUAGCAUGAGUAAAGCAGGUUCCUUUAAUUCAUUAGGGAAUUUUGGAAUCUUGACUAACAGGAAAGACUGUCCCACCUUAAAGAAUUGCAAUUCAAGUUAACUACCUUCUGCCAAACAAAUACAACCAUGAGCCAGAUUUGUCUCUUGACAGCCAGUUGACAACCCCUAUUAUCUUCCCCACUUCAUCUCCUGCUGCUUUGGCCGAGUUUCUGGCCAGCCCUAUCGGUCACACCUAAGCAGGUGCAUGCAGGCAA